GACAGAGGUGCCGAGCGUUAGGCGGAAUCACUGGGCUUAAAGCGUGUGUAGGCGGGUUUCUAAGUACCUUGUGAAAUCCCACGGCUCAACCGUGGAACUGCUGGGUAUACUGGGAAUCUUGAGCCACUUAGGGGCUACCGGAACAAAUGGUGGAGCGGUGAAAUGCGUAGAUAUCAUUUGGAACGCCAAUGGUGAAAACAGGUAGCUGGGAGUGUGCUGACGCUGAGACACGAAAGCCAGGGGAGCGAACGGG
rnacentral:rRNA from 1 species